rnacentral:lncRNA from 1 species
GUUAUGUAAAAAUCAACUCGAAGUUGAUGUUUGACCAUGAGAAGUCCAAACACAACUUGGAGUUGUAUUUGUAAAGGUAAAAAUAAGAAAAAGUUAUUUUCACUUUUUUUCAUCUUCUUUCUCUCAUAAAAAUUCAAAAACAACUCCAAUUAUAUUUAUAGACAAACACAACUUCAACUCCAACUUCAAUUCUAACUUCUAUUCCAACUCCAACUCCAACUUCAAAGAUUUU